rnacentral:rRNA from 1 species
AGUGAACGCUGGCGGUAGGCCUAACACAUGCAAGUCGAACGGCAGCACAGUAAGAGCUUGCUCUUACGGGUGGCGAGUGGCGGACGGGUGAGGAAUACAUCGGAAUCUACUUUUUCGUGGGGGCUAACGUAGGGAAACUUACGCUAAUACCGCAUACGACCUACGGGUGAAAGCAGGGGAUCUUCGGACCUUGCGCGAUUGAAUGAGCCGAUGUCGGAUUAGCUAGUUGGCGGGGUAAAGGCCCACCAAGGCGACGAUCCGUAGCUGGUCUGAGAGGAUGAUCAGCCACACUGGAACUGAGACACGGUCCAGACUACUACGGGAGGCAGCAGUGGGGAAUAUUGGACAAUGGGCGCAAGCCUGAUCCAGCCAUACCGCGUGGGUGAAGAAGGCCUUCGGGUUGUAAAGCCCUUUUGUUGGGAAAGAAAAGCAGCAGGUUAAUACCCCGCUGUUCUGACGGUACCCAAAGAAUAAGCACCGGCUAACUUCGUG